GAAAGUAUUUUCUAGCAAACAAAUAGUUGAUUUUGACCUUUAAAAUUUGUCAAUGAGCCGACUUAUUACUCCCCUUUUACCAAAGUUUGCCAUGGAUAUGUAUAAACACACACAAUGUUUUAAAACAUGUUGAUACCGAUUUUAGCGUGAUACUAUUGUUUGGAGUUAACUUGUCUUUGAACAAGAAUAACAUCAGACAAUCCAGCUUGACAGGGUCAAUGUGCAGAAGAUGUCAAGGAAUAUAUGACCUUAAGAAGAAGUCUAAUAACCUAGUGUACACCAACCCAACAGGACAAUCUAAGCCUCUAUGUUCAAUGCCUGUGCUAUAAGAGGAAUAAUUAUAAUGCUGUGCAGAAGUAACUAUUCCUGUCAAUUCAACCAGCAGAUGUAGCAAUUACAACACAUGUGACUAAUAACACCUAGUUACUGUACAAUUUUAAAAUCACGAGCAGUCUAUGAUAAUCAUGUGCUGCAACAAUAAUAGAUUUACGAUUUAACUGCUGCAAGACCUCACUCAUAUUUAUGGAAUAUGUUCAAAUUUACAAGACAUUUUACCUAUAUUCAUUCUCAGGGUUCGACACUAAGGCACGUUCGACAGACAUUGUCUAGUAAGAUCGGUGGUCGGGCUAGUAAAACUGUGGGCUAGCUUGUCCGACUGGUCGUACAUACAAAAUCUAUACUGAUUCAUAUAACUAUAACUAACCGAAAACCUUUUUCUCUUGAUGUGUAAAAUAACUAUUGUAUCCAUUAUUUACAUCAGAACAAAACUAGCGUAUAUAAAUAAACGCGGAGCAUUCACAUGA